rnacentral:rRNA from 1 species
AACGAACGCUGGCGGCAUGCCUAACACAUGCAAGUCGAACGAGACCUUCGGGUCGAGUGGCGCACGGGUGCGUAACGCGUGGGAACCUGCCCUUAGGUUCGGAAUAACUCCCCGAAAGGGGUGCUAAUACCGGAUAAUGUCUUCGGACCAAAUAUUUAUCGCCUUUGGAUGGGGCCGCGUUGGAAUAGCUGGUUGGUAGGGUAAAAGCCUACCAAAGCGACGACCCAUAGCCGGUCUGAGAGGAUGAGCAGCCACACUGGGACUGAGACACGGCCCAGACUCCUGCGGGAGGCAGCAGUGGGGGAUGUUGGAAAGUGGGCGAGAGCCUGAUCCAGCGAUGCCGCGUGAGUAAUGAAGGCCUUAGGGUUGUAAAGCUCUUUUACCCGGGAUGAUAAUGACAUUACCGGGAGAAUAAGCUCCGGCUAACUCCGUG